ACCCAGAGACAUAUUUAUUUAUAAAUGCUUAGGAUUUACUAUUUAGCCUUGUCCCCAACUAGCUUGUAUAACUUAAUAACCCCUUAUCAAUCUUUGUCUUCAGGUUAAAGGCAGUCACUUUAUCUGAUAUGCAUCAAGCCUUACUGCAUCCAAAGCGGAAGCAGGAAGCAGUGGGGAUAGUAAUCUAUCCUUGCAAUAUUGCCUGUUACCUCGAAUUCGGUCCCCAUACUUCUGCCAUACUUCUGACUUCCUCUGUGGCUGGCUGGCAAGUCUCACCCUCCUGAUUACAGCUGUGGAAUUGACGGCUUGCCCGCUUUGUUUUGUCUUCACUGCAACAAAUUAUUACUAAGUUUCCGCUGGAGUCUGCUUUCAAACAACAAGACUAAAAUCCCCAGGAGAUUCUGACACUCCCGGUAUCAGAUGACGAGGUUCCCUCUGGACUCUCUAAGAUUUAUGGUAGCAUUUCCAUUUAUGCAUCCCUAAGUCAUCGCCAGUAAGACUGUCUGAAAGUAAAAAUAAAAAUUGAAGCG